rnacentral:rRNA from 1 species
UACGAAGGGGGCUAGCGUUGCUCGGAAUCACUGGGCGUAAAGGGUGCGUAGGCGGGUUUUUAAGUCAGGGGUGAAAUCCUGGAGCUCAACUCCAGAACUGCCUUUGAUACUGAAGAUCUUGAGUCCGGGAGAGGUGAGUGGAACUGCGAGUGUAGAGGUGAAAUUCGUAGAUAUUCGCAAGAACACCAGUGGCGAAGGCGGCUCACUGGCCCGGUACUGACGUUGAGGCACGAAAGCGUGGGGAGCAAACAGG